AAACCUUGUGGCGCUGUCAUCUGAUCCGUGGAUCCCAAGUUCAUCGUGGGAAGCACCAUCGUCAUCGACGUCAACAGAUGCGCCAGUCAUAAAAGAACAACAUCCGGCGACUGCACUCUGUGGGCUCGGUGGCUGUGCCACAACACGGUCCAUUAACCCGCUGUCCUACACCAUGCAGGUUGGUCUGUCAUACGUUAGCUCGUCUAAGAAAUCGAGCAACUAUCUUUUAGUACAGCUGCCGAGCCUGCAGUGUUGCAUUGCCGUUGCUAGUGAAUGUGCUCAAGUCAUCCGCCGCUUACUGAUGUUGUCUGGAGAUGUAGAGACUAAUCCGGGUCCUGUUACCUCAAGUGAAAUCCUAAGCGAAUUGCAGAAGCUGUUUGCAGGUCAAACUAAACUCAUCGAGGAGGUAAAGGGCCUAAAAAGUCAGCUGCAGAUAACCGAUAGGACCAUAUCGGACCUAGGCAGGCGGAUGACUGACCUGGAGGGUCAUUACCAAGGCCUUUCCACGCUACGUGCUGAGGUGGAGGCCACGGUGACCAGGGCCGCCCACGCGGCUCGUCAGGUCUCUGACCUUGAGGCCCGUGUGGACGACACUGAAAAUCAAUCCCGACGAAAGAAUCUAAUAUUUUAUGGUGUGCCCGAUCCCUCACCUACAGAGACUUUUGCCCAGUCCGAACAAAGAAUCAUUCGCCUUUGCUCUGAACUUUUUGAUGUAACAUUAGACUCGAAAGAAAUAGAACGUGCCCACCGCCUCGGGCGUCAUUCGGUCGAGCGUCCACGACCAAUAAUAGUGAACUUCUCCUUUUUCAAAACUAAAGAAGCCAUCCUUUCGAAUGGCCGUAAACUAAAAGGUACUAACUUCAGCAUGGGCGAAGAUUUUUCCCGCUCAGUUCGCAACGCACGGAAGCACCUCCUUGCCUUUGCUAGAAGCAAAUCUGCUCCCUUUUCUUUGCGCUACAAAACACUGCUCAUCGGCGCAAAACGUUACGUUUUCGAUUAA